GGGGGCGACCCGGUUUCGACGUGGGUACUGAAGCAGCGUAGUGCAUGCCGAGGGGUGGAGCACCUCGUAAAUCCAACCGCAAACCAAACUAGUUGCGAACGACGACAACUACGCUCUGGCCGCCUAAUACCGGCUGGACUCUGCUCCGGGCUUGCUCAUGGGCCCGGGUGGUGCAGUAAGCAGUACGCCACAGCAGAGUCAUAUUCAUGAGAUCGCGGUGAGCGGGGCCACUUCGCUCAUCGCUAAAAUCAAGGUGGCUCAGCGUUGCCCAGUUCGCCGGUCUACGGGGCAGCGGUUAAACCAAAUGGCCUGGCUAAGCAUGUAGAGCUGCAUGUGGACGAUUCACGGACGGGGGUUCGAUUCCCCCCGCCUCCACCA
rnacentral:tmRNA from 1 species